UUUUUUUCCACUGGCUGUGUGAAGUUUGAAAUAUCCAUGACACUAUGGCUAUUCAUGACAGCAUUUUCUUUUCCUACUUGUUAUGGCCAGAGCUCGUGGCUGCCAAAGUGUCAGAAUACAAAUUUCUCAAGAUACUCAGCCUGGAAGUGGCCCUGCACCUAUCCUGGACAGAAUUUAUAUAUCAUUUGUAAAUCUGUUGGCACUAUUGCAGAGGAAGACUAAUGUUAUGUGUUUAUCUGAUAAAAAACAACAUGAAGUUCCCAGCAACUACCAAG